UGGGGGACAACCCAGGGAAACUUGGGCUAAGUACCGCAUGAGUGCAGCGCAUAAAGCAUCUUUAGGUGGGUGUUUUAUGCGUUGCAUAAAAGGUGGCCUUCGGGCGUGUCGUUUGAGGAUGAGUCUGCGUCCUAUUAGUUAGUUGGUGAGGUAAUGGCUCACCAAGGCGAUGAUAGGUAGGCGGCCUUAACGGGUGGCCGCCCACACUGGGAUUGAGAUACGGCCCAGACUCCUACGGGAGGCAGCAGUCGAGAAUAGUCUACAAUGGACGAAAGUCUGAUAGUGCGACGCCGCGUGAACGAAGAAUCCCUUCGGGGUGUAAAGUUUCCUUUUAUAUGUGAGCAAUGCUUUUUAUGUGAAUAGCAUGAGAAGAGAGAUAUUAGCAUAUGAAUAAGCAACGGCUAACUCCGUGCCAGCCGCGGC
rnacentral:rRNA from 1 species